ACAGUCACAUCACGUUGCAGCAGCGUUUCUCGUACGAUCACUGAAGUUAAGCAACGUCGAGCCUGGCCAAUACCUAAAUGGGUGACCGCUUGUGAAUGCCAGGUGGU